GUCACAGUAUCCUGGCUAUACUUAUUCUUAAAGCAAUAUUUGUUAAUGGAAAAAAAGAACAAAAAAAGUUUUUUAUUGUUUAACCAAUUUCAUCCGAUUCGUUUGAAAGCACCGUAAUGUAACGUUUUUCUUUACGUAAAGAAUUUGUAAUUUAUAAAAAUCUUCAUAAAAUAUGUUAUCAUUUUUAAAAAGGUUCAUGCUAAAGAGAUCAAAAAAGGUACUCUUCGCGAACGUACACCAACUUUAAACGGCCUUAUCACAUUUUUACAUUUUAAACUGACUUUUAACCUAGACUAUUCACAACAAAAAACAUACAGAUUUUAACUGAAGAAAGUAACAAAUUUUCAGUGUAUUUCCAGAGGUAUUUCACAACUUUUCAACAUUAUAGGUUUAUACUCUGAGAAUAAUGAAUUUGUAGUAGUCACAACUUUACUAUUUGAUCCUACCCUGUAUGGAGGAAUUGCGGGAAACACUUAACUGAAGAAAUUAUAGUUUCAAGAAUAAGUUUUGAUUGAUUUGAUAUAUCUACUACAGUGAGAAGCUGAUAACAAGUAUAUACAGUGUGUCUACUUAAGUUGGAAACAUAUGGAAUACUUUUUUAUUAGUGGUUUUAUGAUAAAAAGUUAUUUUUGAUAAAAAGUUCUGUAUGGUCCAAAAGUUGAAAUGCAACCAUCAGAUAUCAAUUUUUCAAAGCAUUAUACGAGGUGUGUCAAAAAAUUUGAAUCUUGUGCAAGAUUAAGGUAUCUUUAUUAGUUAUAAUUUAGAAAAAUGUUAUAGAGUAAAGUUUUUUUGAAUAAAAAUUUAUAUUUAAAUAUGCAA